UACGUAGGGUCCGAGCGUUGUCCGGAUUUAUUGGGCGUAAAGAGCUCGUAGGCGGUCUGUCGCGUCUGCUGUGAAAACUCGGGGCUUAACCCCGGGCCUGCAGUGGGUACGGGCAGACUAGAGUGCGGUAGGGGAGACUGGAAUUCCUGGUGUAGCGGUGAAAUGCGCAGAUAUCAGGAGGAACACCGGUGGCGAAGGCGGGUCUCUGGGCCGUAACUGACGCUGAGGAGCGAAAGCAUGGGGAGCGAACAGG
rnacentral:rRNA from 1 species